AGAGAAAAGCCGUAAUUUUUAACUUUGAUCAGGAAGAGUCUGAGUAAUUAUUUGAUGCACGGGAAAUGUUCAAUUUGUUACUCCAAAAGUGUAUGAAUCAUAAUAUGGAAAAAAUGACACAUUUUAUCGAUGAGAUGAAAAUACAAACGAGAAUGCUUUUCAACACCUCAGUUGAAGGUACGUUAAGAGCAAAAAUAGAUGAAGAGUUGAAAACGCUGAUAGAGAAUAUGUGUCAGAAUGAGUAUCACUCGAGUGAAC
rnacentral:lncRNA from 1 species